CAGAUGCAGACACGCAGUGCUGAUGAGCCCAUGACUACGUUUGUCUUGUGCAACGAGUGCGGGCACCGCUGGAAGUUUUGCUGACAAGUCCAGCCUCCAAGCCAGCAGUGAAGGAGGGGAGGAAGAACGAAGAGGAAGCGCUACACCACCUCAGCUGGAGAACAGAUGAAAAUGACAAUGAAGAGCAUCCUGCACUCGGAAUGAGGCAGUAGGAAUCGGAAGGAGAGUUCUUUUGCCAUUUAGUAAUCAACCAUUCAGUAAUGACGGGCUAACAGAGAAGCCCAAUUGGAAUACCAUGCUAAAAUCUGUUGAUAAACUUCUUUUAGAAAAAGCGUCAGA